AUCUGNGACCGGCGCACGGGUGCGUAACGCGUAUGCAAUCUACCUUUUACUAUGGGAUAGCCCAGAGAAAUUUGGAUUAAUACCAUAUAGUAUAUUUGAAUGGCAUCGUUUGAAUAUUAAAGAUUUAUCGGUAAAAGAUGAGCAUGCGUCCCAUUAGUUAGUUGGUGUGGCAACGGCAUACCAAGACGAUGAUGGGUAGGGGUCCUGAGAGGGAGAUCCCCCACACUGGUACUGAGACACGGACCAGACUCCUACGGGAGGCAGCAGUGAGGAAUAUUGGUCAAUGGAGGCAACUCUGAACCAGCCAUGCCGCGUGCAGGAUGACGGUCCUAUGGAUUGUAAACUGCUUUUGUACGGGAAGAAAACAAACUACGAGUAGUUAAUUGACGGUACCGUAAGAAUAAGGAUCGGCUAACUCCGUGCCAGCAGCCGCGGUAAUACGGAGGAUCCAAGCGUUAUCCGGAAUCAUUGGGUUUAAAGGGUCCGUAGGCGGCCUUAUAAGUCAGUGGUGGAAGUUUUUGGCUUAACCAAAAAAUUGCCAUUGAUACUGUAGGGCUUGAAUAUCUGUGAAGUAACUAGAAUAUGUAGUGUAGCGGUGAAAUGCUUAGAUAUUACAUGGAAUACCGAUUGCGAAGGCAGGUUACUAACAGAUGAUUGACGCUGAUGGACGAAAGCGUGGGUAGCGAACAGGAUUAGAUACCCUGGUAGUCCACGCCGUAAACGAUGGAUACUAGCUGUUUGGUUUUCGGACUGAGUGGCUAAGCGAAAGUGACAAGUAUCCCACCUGGGGAGUACGGUCGCAAGACUGAAACUCAAAGGAAUUGACGGGGGCCCGCACAAGCGGUGGAGCAUGUGGUUUAAUUCGAUGAUACGCGAGGAACCUUACCAGGGCUUAAAUGUAGAUUGACAGAUUUGGAAACAGAUUUUUCUUCGGACAAUUUACAAGGUGCUGCAUGGUUGUCGUCAGCUCGUGCCGUGAGGUGUCAGGUUAAGUCCUAUANCGAGCGCAACCCCUGUUGUUAGUUGCCAGCACGUAAUGGUGGGAACUCUACCAAGACUGCCAGUGUAACUGUGANGAAGGUGGGGAUGACGUCAAAUCAUCACGGCCCUUACGUCCUGGGCCCACACGUGCUACANUGGCCGGUACAGAGAGCACCCCUUGGCGACAAGGAGCGAACUUUAAAGGCCGGCCCAGU
rnacentral:rRNA from 1 species